GGGUAGCGGAGAAAUUCCAAUCGAACCCGGAGAUAGCUGGUUCUCCCCGAAAUAGUUUUAGGACUAGCCUCAAGUUAGAUACCUGGAGGUAAAGCACUGAAUAGCCUAGCGGCCGAGAGGUUAGCGAAGCUUAUCAAACUCAGAAUGCCAGAGUAUUGAUGCUUGGGAGUCAGACAGUGUCAGAUAAAUGUCAUUGUCAAAAGGGAAACAGCCCAGAUCUACAGCUAAGGUCCCAAAGUCAGGUUAAGUGGAAAACGAUGUGAAGAUACGCAGACAACCAGGAUGUUGGCUCAGAAGCAGCCACUCAUUCAAAGAGUGCGUAAUAGCUCACUGGUCGAGCGUCUUUGCGCGGAGAAUUUAACGGGGCUAAACCUGACACCGAAGCUUAGGCAAUGCACGUAAGUGUAUUGGGUAGGGGAGCGUUGUAUACGCGGAGAAACAGUAGCGCAAGCGGCUGUGGAGUGUAUAGAAGUGAGAAUGCCGGAAUGAGUAGCGCGAAUGCAGUGAGAAUCUGCAUGGCCGAAAGCCUCAGGUUUCUGGAGGAAGGUUCGUCCGCUCCAGGUUAGUCGGGAGCUAAGGUGAGGCCGAAAGGCGUAGCCGAUGCACAGACGGUAGAGAUUCCGUCACCACCAAAAGAGUUAAGCACAGGGACACAUAUGAAGUCUCAGAGCCGGGUGUUGGUUCCGGUAGAGAUCGAGGGAAAUUAGUACCGAAGUCUGAGAUGGAAGAUGGCGAGAAAAGCUGUGUGUAUUUCUGAGGUGCCCGUACCGCAAACCGACACAGGUAGGUAGGAAGAAGAUUCUAAGGCCAACGGGAGAAGGGUUGUUAAGGAACUCGGCAAAUUGACCCCGUAACUUCGGGAGAAGGGGUGCUCCAGAGAUGGAGCCGCAGAGAAUCGGCCCAAGCAACUGUUUACCAAAAACACAGGUUUGUGCUAAAUCGAAAGAUGACGUAUACGAGCUGACGCCUGCCCGGUGCUGGAAGGUUAAGAGGAGAUGUGCAAGCAUUGAAUCGAAGCCCCAGUGAACGGCGGCCGUAACUAUAACGGUCCUAAGGUAGCGAAAUUCCUUGUCAGGUAAGUUCUGACCCGCAUGAAAGGCGUAAUGAUUUGGGCACUGUCUCAACAGCCCGCCCGGCGAAAUUGUAGUACCGGUGAAGAUGCCGGUUACCCGCGACAAGACGGAAAGACCCCAUGGAGCUUUACUGUAGCCUAAUAUUGGGUUUCGAUGUUGCAUGCACAGGAUAGAUGGGACUCUUGGAAACCAAGGCUUUGGCUUUGGCGGAGAGGCCGUUGGGAUACCAUCCUUGCGAUAUUGGAAUUCUAACCUGCGGCUCUGAAUCGAGUCGGGGGACAUUGUUAGGUGGGCAGUUUGACUGGGGCGGUCGCCUCCUAAAGAGUAACGGAGGCGUUCAAAGGUUCGCUCAGCUUGAACGGAAAUCAAGCAAAAGAGUGCAAACGCAGAAGCGAGCCUAACUGCGAGACUGACGGGUCGAGCAGUAACGAAAGUUGGAGUUAGUGAUCCGGUGGUAUGUGAGUGG
rnacentral:rRNA from 1 species